rnacentral:rRNA from 1 species
UACAUGCAAGUCGAGCGAACGGACGAGAAGCUUGCUUUUCCGAUGUUAGCGGCGGACGGGUGAGUAACACGUGGAUAACCUACCUAUAAGACUGGGAUAACUUCGGGAAACCGGAGCUAAUACCGGAUGAUAUUUUGAACCGCAUGGUUCAAAAGUGAAAGACGGUCUUGCUGUCACUUAUAGAUGGAUCCGCGCUGCAUUAGCUAGUUGGUAAGGUAACGGCUUACCAAGGCAACGAUGCAUAGCCGACCUGAGAGGGUGAUCAGCCACACUGGAACUGAGACACGGUCCAGACUCCUACGGGAGGCAGCAGUAGGGAAUCUUCCGCAAUGGGCGAAAGCCUGACGGAGCAACGCCGCGUGAGUGAUGAAGGUCUUCGGAUCGUAAAACUCUGUUAUUAGGGAAGAACAUAUGUGUAAGUAACUGUGCACAUCUUGACGGUACCUAAUCAGAAAGCCACGGCUAACUACGUGCCAGCAGCCGCGGUAAUACGUAGGUGGCAAGCGUUAUCCGGAAUUAUUGGGCGUAAAGCGCGCGUAGGCGGUUCUUUAAGUCUGAUGUGAAAGCCCACGGCUCAACCGUGGAGGGUCAUUGGAAACUGGAAAACUUGAGUGCAGAAGAGGAAAGUGGAAUUCCAUGUGUAGCGGUGAAAUGCGCAGAGAUAUGGAGGAACACCAGUGGCGAAGGCGACUUUCUGGUCUG